rnacentral:rRNA from 1 species
CCUACGGGAGGCAGCAGUGGGGAAUAUUGGGCAAUGGGCGCAAGCCUGACCCAGCAACGCCGCGUGAAGGAAGAAGGCUUUCGGGUUGUAAACUUCUUUUCUCAGGGACGAAAAAAGUGACGGUACCUGAUGAAUAAGCCACGGCUAACUACGUGCCAGCAGCCGCGGUAAUACGUAGGGGGCAAGCGUUAUACGGAUUUAUUGGGUGUAAAGAGCGUGUAGGCGGUAGCGCAAGUCAGAUGUGAAAACUCAGGGCUCAACCCUGAGCCUGCAUUUGAAACUGUGUUUCGUGAGUGCUGGAGAGGUAAUCGGAAUUCCUUGUGUAGCGGUGAAAUGCGUAGAUAUACGGAGGAACACCAGUGGCGAAGGCGGAUUGCUGGACAGUAACUGACGCUGAGGCGCGAAAGCGUGGGGAGCAAACAGGAUUAGAUACCCCUGUAGUC